rnacentral:rRNA from 1 species
AUGCUUCCCCUCCCUCCAAGGCACCUACUUGGAUCGCUGCCUCAUCUUUCGGCGCUUCCUCUUGAGCCUCCUCAUCCUCUUCUUCUUCCACUGCACAUUAUCACAAAAAUGCAGAUCAUCAGUACAAAUUGCAUAGUGCUAGAUGCGCAGGAACAUGAGAUAAUUCCACAUGAAAAGAGAAAGUAG